rnacentral:rRNA from 1 species
UACGAAGGUCCCGAGCGUUAUUCGGAAUCACUGGGCGUAAAGGGUGCGUAGGUGGCUGAUCAAGCCAGAGGUGAAAGGCAUUGGCUCAACCAAUGUAAGCCUUUGGAACUGAUCGGCUUGAGUGCAGGAGAGGUAAGUGGAAUUCCUAGUGUAGAGGUGAAAUUCGUAGAUAUUAGGAGGAACACCAGUGGCGAAGGCGACUUACUGGACUGUAACUGACACUGAGGCACGAAAGCGUGGGGAGCGAACAGG